CUCCCCCAAAGCCAGAAAUUCAUUUUGUCCAUGACUUGCCUCCCAUAUCACCAGAGGUAACUAUUUUACUGUAUGAUUUGCCACUGAAUGACACGAGUCAACACCACUCAAGCCUCUGAUACAUGUAUUGCUUCAGGUAUCGUGGGUCAAGGAGGGUCUCUUGGCACUGAGCUUUGCUGCCUUGGAAGACGGUUGAUGCAGGGGGCUGGCCCCGUGGCCGAGUGGUUAAGUUCGCGCGCUCUGCUGCAGGCAGCCCAGUGUUUUGUUGGUUCGAAUCCUGGGCGCGGACAUGGCACUGCUCAUCAGACCACGCUGAGGCAGCGUCUCACAUGCCACAACUAGAAGGACCCACAACAAAAUAUACA
rnacentral:lncRNA from 1 species